UACAGAGGUCUCAAGCGUUGUUCGGAUUCAUUGGGCGUAAAGGGUGUGUAGAUGGCGCGCUAAGUCGGGUGUGAAAUUUCGGAGCUUAACUCCGAAACUGCAUUCGAUACUGGCGUGCUUGAGGACUGGAGAGGAGACUGGAAUUUACGGUGUAGCAGUGAAAUGCGUAGAUAUCGUAAGGAAGACCAGUGGCGAAGGCGGGUCUCUGGACAGUUCCUGACACUGAGACACGAAGGCCAGGGGAGCAAACGGG
rnacentral:rRNA from 1 species